AAUGCCGCGUGAGUGAAGAAGGCCCUCGGGUUGUACAGCUCUUUUGUCUCGGGAUAACAGGUCUGGCUAAUAUCCAGCAGCUGCUGCCUCCCGCCUGGAGUAUAAGCACCGGUCUAACUACGUGCCAGCAGCCGCGGUAAUACGUAGGGUGCAAGCGUUAAUCGGAAUUACUGGGCGUAAAGCGUGCGCAAGCGGUUUAUAAGUCUGAUGUGAAAUCCCCGGGCUCAACCUGGGAACUGCAUUGGAGACUGUAAAGCUAAAGUGUGUCAGAGGGGGGUAGAAUUCCACGUGUAGCAGUGAAAUGCGUAGAUAUGUGGAGGAAUACCGAUGGCGAAGGCAGGCCCCUGGGAUAACACUGACGCUCAUGCACGAAAGCGUGGGGAGCAAACAGGAUUAGAUACCCUGGUAGUCCACGCCCUAAACGAUGUCAACUAGUAGUCGGGUCUUAAUUGACUUGGUAACGCAGCUAACGCGUGAAGUUGACCGCCUGGGGAGUACGGUCGCAAGAUUAAAACUCAAAGGAAUUGACGGGGACCCGUACAAGCGGUGGAUGAUGUGGAUUAAUUCGAUGCAACG
rnacentral:rRNA from 1 species